UGAACGCUGGCGGCGUGCCUAAUACAUGCACGUCGAGCGAACGGACGAGAAGCUUGCUUUUCUGAUGUUAGCGGCGGACGGGUGAGUAACACGUGGAUAACCUACCUAUAAGACUGGGAUAACUUCGGGAAACCGGAGCUAAUACCGGAUAAUAUUUUGAACCGCAUGGUUCAUAAGUGAAAGACGGUCUUGCUGUCACUUAUAGAUGGAUCCGCGCUGCAUUAGCUAGUUGGUAAGGUAACGGCUUACCAAGGCAACGAUGCAUAGCCGACCUGAGAGGGUGAUCGGCCACACUGGAACUGAGACACGGUCCAGACUCCUACGGGAGGCAGCAGUAGGGAAUCUUCCGCAAUGGGCGAAAGCCUGACGGAGCAACGCCGCGUGAGUGAUGAAGGUCUUCGGAUCGUAAAACUCUGUUAUUAGGGAAGAACAUAUGUGUAAGUAACUGUGCACAUCUUGACGGUACCUAAUCAGAAAGCCACGGCUAACUACGUG
rnacentral:rRNA from 1 species